UACAGAGGUCUCAAGCGUUGUUCGGAUUCAUUGGGCGUAAAGGGUGUGUAGGUGGCGCCGUAAGUCAGGUGUGAAAUCUCGGGGCUUAACUCCGAAACUGCAUUUGAUACUGCGGUGCUUGAGGACUGGAGAGGAGACUGGAAUUUAUGGUGUAGCAGUGAAAUGCGUAGAUAUCAUAAGGAAGACCAGUGGCGAAGGCGGGUCACUGGCCCGGUACUGACGCUGAGGCGCGAAAGCGUGGGGAGCAAACAGG
rnacentral:rRNA from 1 species